CUGGAAUGGUUCCAAUUGCAUUGUUUCCCCAAAAAACAUUUCCACACUAUGGUUCCAAAUGAAACAGGCUUAAAAUGCUACCAGUUCAAAUGAAAAUGAUCCCAAAUGGAAAACAAAUCAGUUCCUAACAAAACAUUUCCAAUCAAAAUUCAUGGUUACAAACAAAAGGGUUCCAAACGGAAACGAUUUCAAUCGAUACAACCUUAAAAUGUUCCAACUGCUUUAACUCCGUUAACUCCUAAAUGGAGUGGGAAAUCCUCAACCUGUCUUUGGUUUAGCAUGUAUGCAGUUAGCAUCUUGUCAUACAUUACAUGCUCACAUGUUCUUUAAGGAUAUUUUGUUUGUGACGUCUCAUAGUUUGCUUGUCUCUUUUCUUUUGUAUUUUUAUUUCUAGCCUGCUAGAUUGUCUAAAUAAUCAGUUAUCAACAAAGGACAAGACUGUUUACAUUCUUGCAGCCAGUAAGAGAAGAGUGUGAGCUCACGUGGUUUGUUGUAAUGGAUGUUGGUUUGUUUUGAUGAUUUAUUGUGUGAAAAUAAAUUGAAGCAAGUUUACAAACCAAUCAACUGAGGAGGACCACAAAGUAAACAGAAGUGUGAAAACGUCCUCGUAGAAGUUCUGAUGACGUUGUUAGCGUUUUCUCUUGUUUCCUUGUCAUCCUCGUUCACUCUUCAAACUUGAGUUAACUCGGUUUGUCUUGCACAAUCCACCUAAUCACGAAAUUAUAUUUGAGGGGCGUAAUAGGAAGGAGUGUAUUUCAGCACGAGGCGCAGAUAUUCCAUCAAAAAAAUGUGCCCUCACUGCAACAUUUCCCCCCAUUAUGAUUUAUUAAACUAAUGCUGGGGCCCGGGAAUCUACUUUUGCUUUCAUCGCUGCACUCUCCAAAUACCAAUUUCAACCCCUUCCUCAAUUAUUCUUUUGUCUGGGAAAAGAAGCGAGGUAUCAAUCUUUUAUGUUUUGGAAAAACCUGAUGAGUGCGAGCUAGCGUUUGUGUGUGUGUGUGUGUGUGUGUGUGUGGGUGAAGCCAACUCUCGGGUGAAAAAAAAACAAAAACAUGAAAUUGCAGAGUAAAUCAAUACCGGGGCCGCUAAUUUCAGGGGUAUCCCCUUUCAAAGAGUAAAGCUGAAUUUGUUUUGCCGUAUGUUUUUGAUCUCUUACUGUACUGUGUUUCAUUCCAGGCACGGUUGUUAUCAUAGUUGCAGUUGUUUGUAUGUUAUUUUAGCUUCUUUCUCAAGUAGCUAUUUUGCAAUUUGGACAAAAGCACAAUUUAGCUCCCAUCUGUUUCCAAUGCGCUCAACGUUAGACAGAUGGGUUCUGUGUAUUGAAGCAAUACCAAAGUCCUGGCAGGUUACAGUGGUUUCGGUAAUGAACAUGCUAAAUAUGAGACUACGGGCUGAUUUCAUCACGACAAGGCCUGUAAUGCUAUUCUUUUUCAUAAAGUUAAUCUGUCGCGCAUUAGUCUCGGCAUUGACCUCAAAUGAUUACAGGACUUAUAUAUCCGUCCCGAGUUUUCUUUACAAGGUUAUAUGAAACACUGUCAGUUAAAUAUGAAACACUAUAGCUACCUUUUACCAAGCAGUACAGUUCUGUGUAACUUUCUUUGUACUGUAGACCUGAACCACCCUCUGUGUUUCACAUGGAAAUACAGCAGGUUCACAAGCUCUUGCGGUAGAAUGGGAAGUAGUGUAUUGCUGUUUGGCGCUGUGUUCUCUGCACACACCAUAUACAUGGAUCUGCUACACUAAUUGACAGCUGUAAUUCGGCGGCUUGGUGAUGAAAUCUUGACUCCAUGUGGAAAAAAAAUAAAUAAAUAGUGGCCAGCAACUUUAAACAUAAACUAUGGCUUUAAAGCCACCUUUCAUCGCAGUUGUAGCGGACAUGCCACGCAAAAGAUGCCACCCAGCACCCCAUCCUCGCACUACCGCCACUCCCCGCCGAGGUAGACUGUAACUCCAGAGUCACACGCAGACUCUAAACGAAUUAACACAAUAAGCUAUCUUCAACAAGACACAGACAUUUGCUUUGCCAUUCCGAUGCUAAGUGAAUCACGUCUGCCUGAGACUUCAAAGGGGAGACCCACGGAUGCUGGGUUCACCCAGCUCACGCUAAGUUAAUUAACUCCCCACCAGUCAAAGGAUUGGACCUGCAGCGACGCCUCCACCCUGCUGAGACCUGCUGCUUGGGAGUUGGAACAGGCAACAAAGACACCUCCUUCUGUGCUGGUUCCCAGCCUUCCUCUUCUGUUCCACAUUGUUCGUGAUGGCGAAGUUGCCUGCCUUUCUCGCCAUGACCGGCACUCCUUCUCUUCUUCCUUCCUGCGCGCUGCGCAAGGUUGACUUCGGUUUCUCCUUAACUUUGCACCUGCAUACAAUUUUAUUUUAUUUAUUUAAAUGUUUUUUUUUUUUUUUUCAAUUGUGCAAAAAAAUGAAGAGUCCUCUCGAGUCCUCUUAGAGCAGUUCGAAUGACGACUCUCGCAGUAGUCCGGUGCAAUGACCAUUGUGCAAAGGGCGCCGAGACUUCAAGGAGUGUAUGCAGUUUAAAGUGACGAGUAGUGCGAUAAUCUGGGACAAUGUUGAUUGUGCAAAUGUUGCAGAUACUCCUCAAUCAAUGUGCAAAUGGGGCAGAUGCUACUCUGGCAUGAGUGGCCAGUAUUGGUCAACAACAGAUAUGCAAAUACCGCGGCCUGGCGAGACUACGACUGAGUGCACGAGUAGUAUAUAAUUGGGCCGACAGAAAUGUGACAACAAACUCAGACAAAAGAAAUUGGCAGCAUGUUGCAAUGGAAUUGUAAGUUAGCUGUUUAAGAAGUUGAUUGCGAGAGGGAAGAAGCUGUUGGAAUGUCUGCUCGUUCUAGUUUGCAUUGAUCGGUAGCGCCUACCUGAGGGAAGGAGCCGAAAGAGCCGGUGACCGGGAUGUGGAGGGUCCGAGAGUAUUUUGCAUGCUCUUGUCUUAGUUCUGGCAGCGUGCAAGUCCUCAAGGGUGGGUAGGGGGUACCGACAAUCCUUUCAGCAGUUUUGAUUGUCCAUUGCAGUCAGAGUUUGUCAUUUUUUGUAGCAACACCAAACCAGACUGUGAUGGAAGAACACACGACUGAUUCGAUGACCGCUGUGUAGAACUGCCUCAGCAGCUCCCGUGGCAGGCUGUGCUUUCUCAGAAGCCGCAGGAAGUACAUCCUCUGCUGGCCCUUUUUGGUCUCGACGGUUGACACAAGGCAGCUGGACAGCGUAAGGGGCAGCUGUGGCGAAGGAUGCCUCCUGAAGUCCACGAUCAUCUCUAUAGUCUUGAGCGUGUUCAGCUCCAGGUUGUGUCGGCCACACCACAGCUCCAGCCGAUAUGCAGACUCGUCACCGUCCUUGAUGAGGCUGAUGACAGUGGUGUCAUCUGCAAACUUUAGGAGUUUGACAGCCGGGUGCAUUGAGGUGCAGUCGUUCGUGUAGAGAGAGAAGAGCAGCGGAGAGAGGACACAACCACCAAAGACAUCUAUUACCUGUGUCCCAGUAAGCUGUUCAUCUGAGAUGUAGUGGAUGGGGUUUGUGGCCUGAAGCCCAUGAAGGAUGGGUCGCGGUGUAGAGCAGAAGCUACACCUCGCUACCAGGUUACUACUACUCACGCGGAAAUUGUUGGGUCCAAGUGGCUAGUCAAUACACCAGCCCUAAGCGCAAUGCUGAGUUAUGACCACCACGACGAGACUCGCCCUGCCAAAUCAAACCAUGUGGCUUGACCUCCCCAAAGAUGCCAUUUUGCAUAUUGAGAACGUCACCCUCUACCACCUGCCAACCGAAAAUUAUGAGAGCGAAAUCGAGAUUUCGAACUUUUUCGGACAGUACAAAUUGGAAGUUGAUCCUGAGACACUUACACAGAUUCAGUUUGAAGGAAUCCAGGUGAUUGACAUCACCCACAUUGACAACACCUUACGCGUUAUGAGCACUGAAGACAGAACACUCGAGCUCCCGCUCAUGCAUUCCUGGUCCACAGCAGAUAACAUCUUAAUUGCCCUUACUACAUGACCUUCGGAAUCGCCUACCUGCUCUACCUAAAGACUCAGAACUUGCAGGGUCUUCUGAACCAGUGCUCAGCUUUGCGACCCAAAAUUUUCCAUAGGAAAAAAUCCUAACCCCAUACAGACAGGGGAGGAGGUUUUUGUGUGAUUUUUACUGAGAACUCUACACCUAGGUAAUGCUUGCCCUUAGUUUUAGCUACGCCCAAUGCCCCGUAUUUCUACUCUCCCUGCUAUCCCAAUAGCCACACCUACGCACAUCAAUCCUGACCCAUAUACACAUACAGGCUGACCUUAUAUUGGAAGUUGCCAUGAACAACUGUUGUAGCCGUAAGGGGGGUGAUAUGCACUAAGGUUGUACUUUGGUAACUGCCUUGUUGUGUGUGUGUGUGUUCCUGCCAACCUGUGCCAUCUUUCAACGAGACGUCGCCUACAUCCGCCUGAUCCAGCCGCCGCAGCGGGGGAUAUGUAGCGGACAUGCCACGCAAAGGAUGCCACCCGGCACCCCAGCCUCACCCUACCGCCACUCCCCGCCGAGGAAACCGGAGGAAAUCGGAGUGCCCGGAGAAAACCCACGCAGGCACGGGGAGAACAUGCAAACUCCACACAGGCGGGGCCGGGGAUUGAACCCCGGUCUUCAGAACUGUGAGGCAGACGCUCUAACCAGUCGCCCACCGUGCCGCCGGACCCUGACUCGCCUUCUUCAAACGUGUUCCAGACACGUAAGUCCAACAUUGCGGUCUACUAAAAGUACAGAUUAGUGCAUAUUUGGGUUUAUAUUAACGAGACCAGGAGUCCUCAACUAUAUGCAUUCACUACACACCCAUUCUGCUCAUCUCACGUCACAAAUCCCUUCCGUUGCCAAUGUUUGUAGAUAUCUUGUUUGUUUUGUGUUUGUCUGUUUUUUAUCCUGUAGAAAGCCCUUUUUAUUAUUAAAUUUUCUAUAAAAUUCA